rnacentral:rRNA from 1 species
UGAGUAACACGUAUCCAACCUGCCUCAUACUCUUGGCCAGCCUUCUGAAAGGAAGAUUAAUCCAGGAUGGCAUCAUGAGUUCACAUGUCCGCAUGAUUAAAGGUAUUUUCCGGUAGACGAUGGGGAUGCGUUCCAUUAGAUAGUAGGCGGGGUAACGGCCCACCUAGUCAACGAUGGAUAGGGGUUCUGAGAGGAAGGUCCCCCACAUUGGAACUGAGACACGGUCCAA